AGGAUAUCAUGGAGCUGUCACAGAACUACCCCCAGCUCAGGGCUGUUCUAUGUGAUAGAACGGUGGGAAUGGGGGUGUCAUAGGAGGUAGCCUUGGAGACAUCAGUGUGGUCUGGAGGGCAGGGGCCAGGAGCGGACACAGCACUUAAAGCUGAAGGAGCACAGGGGCAGAUUUCUGCUCCAAGUGGACCUCUCUGGUAGCCUGGUGGGAGGGGCUGGAGGCUGGGCCCUUCGCUGAUGAUGUUCUCUACACAGCCGAGAUGAAGGGAGUGGGAGCCAGGGUGUCUCGAGAAUAAAAGACUGACUCAGGCAGCCCAAGCUUCCACAAACUACUUAGAAAGGAAUGAAAGUGAUCCUUAAAACUAGACAGUUGGAAAGACAUUCCCUGUGGGGAAGAGGCACUAGCUAGGGAAUCAAAAGACCUGAGAUUUAAUCUUGGCUCUGUUGCUCACAAGCAGUGCGACCUUGGAGACUGCUGCUGCUGCUCCUGGGACUCCACUUUGAGAACUACCACAUUGGAUCCUGUCUAAAUCCUUGCUGCUCAAUAUGUUGUGCCCAGAGCAGCAGCAUCUGGAAGCUUGUUAGAAACAUAAAAUCUUGGGGCCUACCCAGUGCUACUAAAUUUGAAUCUGCAUAAAAACAAGAUUCCUAGGUGAUUCUUUUGCAUAUUAAAAUUUGAGAAGCAUG